rnacentral:rRNA from 1 species
GACGAACGCUGGCGGCGUGCUUAAUACAUGCAAGUCGAACGGAAAGGCCCUGCUCUUGCGGGGUGCUCGAGUGUCGAACAGGUGAGUAACACGUGAGUAACCUGUCCUUGACUUUGGGAUAACUUCAGGAAACUGGGGCUAAUAUCGGGCAGGAGCUCCUGCUGCAUGGUGGGGGUUGGUAAGAUUUGGCGGUUGGGGAUGGACUCGUGGCUCAUCAGCUUGUUGGCGGGGUAGUGGCUUACCAAGGCUUUGACGAGUAGCCGGCCUGCGAGGGUGACCGGCCACAUAGGGACUGAGAUGCCGCCCAGACUGCUACGGGAGGCAGCAGUGCGGAAUAGUGCAAGAUGGGCGGCAGGCGGAUGCAGCAUCGCCGCGUGGUGGAUCACGGCUGUCGGCUUGUAACCCGCUUUCGCGUGUGACGAAGAGUGAGUGACGGUAAUGGGUAAAGAAGCACCGGCUAACUACGUG